rnacentral:misc_RNA from 1 species
GAUGAAGAACGCAGUGAAUUGCGAUAAGUAAUGUGAAUUGCAGAAUUCCGUGAAUCAUCGAAUCUUUGAACGCAAAUUGCACUCUCUGGUAUCCCGGAGAGUAUGCCUGUUUGAGGGUCGGUAAAAUGAAAUAUCGAUGUGUUGCUUUUUUUGCAACAUUUCGGAAUUGGGUUAACUUGAUCCUCUCAAGUGACCUAAAAUUCAUUACUUCGGUAUGAUUAACGUAUUUAAUUAUUUCGUUUUGAAUGCCGAAAAUUAUUAGAUGUGACUAUUUAACAAUAGCAUCACCUCCAUAAUUCUUUUGAAUUUCGACCUCAAAUCAGGUAAGAGUACCCGCUGAACUUAAGCAUAUCAAUAAGCGGAGGA